rnacentral:rRNA from 1 species
GACGAACGCUGGCGGCGUGCUUAACACAUGCAAGUCGAACGGAAAGGCCCUGCUUUCUUGGGGUGACCGAGUGGCGAACGGGUGCGUAACACGAGAGUAACCUGCUCUUGAUUUUCGGAUAACUUCAGGAAACUGGGGCUAAUCCCGGACAGGAGACCCCGUUGCAUUGUGGGGGUUGGAUCGUUUCGGCGGGCGGGGUUGGAUUAGCGGCUUACGAGCUUGUUGGUGGGGUAGGGGCUUACCAAGGCUUUGACGGAUAGCCGGCCUGAGAGGGGGUCCGGCCACAAGGGGACUGAGAUACGGCGCAGACGCCUACGGGAGGCAGCAGUGGGGAAUAUUGUACAGUGGGCGGGAGCCGGAGGCGGCAGCGCCGCGUGCGUGAUGACGGCCUGCGGGUUGUAAACCGCUGUCGCCUGUGACGAAGCGUGUGUGACGGUAAUGGGUAAAUAAGCACCGGCUAACUACGUG